UACGUAGGGUCCGAGCGUUGUCCGGAAUUAUUGGGCGUAAAGAGCUCGUAGGCGGUCUGUCGCGUCUGGUGUGAAAAUCCAGGGCUUAACCCUGGACCUGCAUCGGGUACGGGCAGACUAGAGUGCGGUAGGGGAGAUCGGAAUUCCUGGUGUAGCGGUGAAAUGCGCAGAUAUCAGGAGGAACACCGGUGGCGAAGGCGGAUCUCUGGGCCGUAACUGACGCUGAGGAGCGAAAGCAUGGGGAGCGAACAGG
rnacentral:rRNA from 1 species